CACCUCCAUGAUCUACCAUAGCUUGGAGAAGAAGGAAAAGAAGCUUGGAGAAGAAGGAGAAGAAACCACCCACUACCCAUGAAUUCCUCCACAAGCAAAGCGGUUAUCAAGCAACAAGAGGGAGAUGUUUUGCCUAUAAAUAGGAUCUUCUUCAAGAGAAUAAAGGAACUCUCAUUCUGAGAAACCACCAUUCUUUCAUUAUUGUAAAGUUUAUCAAUUUCUUCUCUAAGGAGAGCUUUGUAUUUCUAUCAUUAUCAAAUAAUACAAACCCCCUUGUUUUUUACCAGAACAU
rnacentral:lncRNA from 1 species